UACGUAGGGGGCAAGCGUUGUCCGGAUUCAUUGGGCGUAAAGAGCUCGUAGGCGGCUUGGCAAGUCGGGUGUGAAACCUCCAGGCUCAACCUGGAGACGCCACCCGAUACUGCCAUGGCUAGAGUCCGGUAGGGGACCACGGAAUUCCUGGUGUGAGCGGUGAAAUGCGCAGAUAUCAGGAAGAACACCCGUGGCGAAGGCGGCUCUCUGGGACGGUACUGACGCUGAGACGCGAAAGCGUGGGGAGCGAACAGG
rnacentral:rRNA from 1 species